UACGUAGGCUGCGAGCGUUAAUCGGAAUUACUGGGCGUAAAGCGUGCGCAGGCGGCGCGUUAAGACAGGUGUGAAAGCCCCGAGCUUAACUUGGGAAUUGCGCUUGUGACUGGCGUGCUGGAGUGUGGCAGAGGGAGGUGGAAUUCCACGUGUAGCAGUGAAAUGCGUAGAGAUGUGGAGGAACACCGAUGGCGAAGGCAGCCUCCUGGGCCAGCACUGACGCUCAUGCACGAAAGCGUUGGGAGCAAACGGG
rnacentral:rRNA from 1 species